rfam:Triticum aestivum genome assembly, contig: Triticum_aestivum_CS42_TGACv1_scaffold_472813_6AL
AACCUACUCCCUCCGUCCGGAAAUACUUGUCCUAGAAAUGGUUAGGACAAGUAUUUCCGGACGGAGGGAGUAUUAG